rnacentral:rRNA from 1 species
CGUAGGGCGCAAGCGUUAUCCGGAAUUAUUGGGCGUAAAGAGCUCGUAGGCGGUUUGUCGCGUCUGCUGUGAAAGACCGGGGCUCAACUCCGGUUCUGCAGUGGGUACGGGCAGACUAGAGUGCAGUAGGGGAGACUGGAAUUCCUGGUGUAGCGGUGAAAUGCGCAGAUAUCAGGAGGAACACCGAUGGCGAAGGCAGGUCUCUGGGCUGUAACUGACGCUGAGGAGCGAAAGCAUGGGGAGCGAACAGGAUUAGAUACCCUGGUAGUCCAUGCCGUAAACGUUGGGCACUAGGUGUGGGGGACAUUCCACGUUUUCCGCGCCGUAGCUAACGCAUUAAGUGCCCCGCCUGGGGAGUACGGCCGCAAGGCUAAAACUCAAAUGAAUUGACGGGG